UGCGUAGGUGGUAUGGCAAGUCAGAAGUGAAAACCCAGGGCUUAACUCUGGGACUGCUUUUGAAACUGUCAGACUGGAGUGCAGGAGAGGUAAGCGGAAUUCCUAGUGUAGCGGUGAAAUGCGUAGAUAUUAGGAGGAACAUCAGUGGCGAAGGCGGCUUACUGGACUGACAAUGACGCUGAGGCUGAAAGCUGGGGAGCAAACA
rnacentral:rRNA from 1 species